AAAUUGAAGAGUUUGAUCAUGGCUCAGAUUGAACGCUGGCGGCAGGCCUAACACAUGCAAGUCGAACGGUAACAGGAAACAGCUUGCUGUUUCGCUGACGAGUGGCGGACGGGUGAGUAAUGUCUGGGAAACUGCCCGAUGGAGGGGGAUAACUACUGGAAACGGUAGCUAAUACCGCAUAACGUCGCAAGACCAAAGAGGGGGACCUUCGGGCCUCUUGCUAUCGGAUGUGCCCAGAUGGGAUUAGCUAGUAGGUGGGGUAACGGCUCACCUAGGCGACGAUCCCUAGCUGGUCUGAGAGGAUGACCAGCCACACUGGAACUGAGACACGGUCCAGACUCCUACGGGAGGCAGCAGUGGGGAAUAUUGCACAAUGGGCGCAAGCCUGAUGCAGCCAUGCCGCGUGUAUGAAGAAGGCCUUCGGGUUGUAAAGUACUUUCAGCGGGGAGGAAGGGAGUAAAGUUAAUACCUUUACUCAUUGACGUUACCCGCAGAAGAAGCACCGGCUAACUCCGUGCCAGCAGCCGCGGUAAUACGGAGGGUGCAAGCGUUAAUCGGAAUUACUGGGCGUAAAGCGCACGCAGGCGGUUUGUUAAGUCAGAUGUGAAAUCCCCGGGCUCAACCUGGGAACUGCAUCUGAUACU
rnacentral:rRNA from 1 species